GGGGGAAAGCUGGCUUCAUGCUCCUGGAACAGCUUGUUUCAUUUUAGAAACAUUCUAAAGCCUACAGCAGUGCUGUUUAUCGGCUUAAAACAAAGACCUGAAGCCACAUGAUCCAUUUGGAAAUAUAGGGAGGAAAAAUGUAAUUUCCUGAACUACAUCUAUAACUUGGCUGAAAUAUGGGCUAACGCCCUUCAAAUGCAGAGAAAUGCAACAGGCUGGUUAAAUAUUCCAGUUGGUGAGAGCCUCGUCUUUUAUAUUUUACAGGACCAGAGGAAGAGCAGCAAACCCUGGCACUGAUAUUGCAGAUAUUCACCCCAGAGCCAGAAUAAAAUACCAAGAUGCAUUUCUACCUGGAAAUAUGCAGAUUCAUCCAUCUACAGUUUUGUUGCUUUCAGAGAAGAUCAGGAUGUUUGGCGUGGGUUUUUUUUGAAAGAAAGAGGACUCUGUUUUCAGUCUCAUAUAGCUUGAGCUUUGCUCCAAUUGAAUUGAAGUGUGAACCUCUGAAAGAAAUUAAGGAAUCACACUGUUCAAUCGUCUGUUAACCACUGUGAUUCAUUCACUUCAGAAGCUUGCAUAAUAACUGCCAAAGCUUGUUCAGCAGCAUGAUUUAACAGCCACGCUAUAAUAGGAGCCAGUGAGCUUGAUGGAGGUAGAGUAUUUCUGUCCAAACACUGUCAUCUCACAUGCUGCGUGUCAGAUCACACAGGGCCUGAUAUCAUUGACUCAUCACUAUUAGAGGAGUAUUUGUAAGUAACAGUAGCAUGAAGUCAGAAACGUUCCUGGCAUUACUGUUUUAUCACUUCAACUCUGUUUUUUUGUUGUUGUUGUUGGUUGUUUUGUUUGUUUUUUUUUUUUGUACUUCCUGUCCUAAAAAGCAACUGUCUGCAGCCAUUAUUAUAACAAUAUGACCCACAUGAGAGGAGGAUGAACCUGAGUUGUGCUUAAAGCAGUGUGAUUUUGGUGUGUAGAGCUGGCUGUGGGGCUUAGUGCCUGUACUGCUAGGCAGAGCUACAAUCACUGACAGAUACUCAAAGUUACCUAGAGACUGAGAGUGGAAAUGACCAUCUUUAGAUAUAGAGAGACUCAAAACAUUUUCCGUGGCUACAGUAGCUCCUGUCUCCCCAACAACUUACUUUAGACCUGUUAAUAAAGCCUGAGCUGAAUUUAGUACAGCUGGAACAUAUCAGCGUGAGUCCAUUUAAAGCUAACUUGGUUCCACUUCGUUCCUCUUAAUCACACUAUAAUUCUUUCCCCAACUGUAUUAUAGACAUACUCAGCAACCAACCAUGGGAUAUUUUUAAAGAAGGCCAAGAUCAUGGCAGUGCUUUGUCUGUGUUUGAGUUUGAUAUAAUAUAAUAACAUAUUCAAAGAAGCUCCACUGGAGAAUUGAGGCCUAUCCUCUGAAGCCACAUUUUAUAGACCUAGAGCAUAGCCGGUUGCUUUCUAUGUAUAUUUGGCAGUGCAAUUUAGUGCCUCAUCGCAUGUAACACUAGGUAUUUUUGUGGACUUUGCGUGUCUGAACACUUGCUUAUAUUAAAAGUUUUCGAGAUGCUAUUUGUUUUUUUUUAACAGCUCAGAAAACAAUUUAGAAGUUCCAUACUCUGUCUUUUAAAAUAACUGGUUGUGCAUCUGAGAUUCUUCCUACAACUGCCUUACAGCAGCUGCAAAACAGCUGUGAGAUCUAUAUCAAGCUUUCCUGCCUAGAAAUACCUUCUACAAUUCUGGUCCACUGUUCCUCCUUCGAACAGCUUUGUGUAAAGUGAGAGUAGUCACAGGAAAGCAGUGUAGCUGGUAUAUUCCUUCAUCUCAGUAGAUCGUGGCUUUUGCAUCAGCUCUAUGACAUUAUAAGCAACUAUGAGAAGAUUUUAAUCUUCAUUUAAUGUUAAUCUCUGCAAACAUUUACAUACGUAUCAAUUCAUUUAUAUAAUAGGCGUAUUGAAAUCAAUGGGACAGCCCCAAGAGAGUAGUUACUCAUAUAUACAGCAAUGUUUAGAGGAUCUGUUUCCACCUUCUGCUCUGAAUCAUCUGGAGUAAUUUAACACCCAUGAUUUCACAAGGUGAAUUUAUCUGUCAUGAUUUAAUCCUGUUGAUAGUUCAGGCACUAAUGUAUUCUCCCCUUGUCACAGUACACCCCUGUCUGAAGGAUGACAAGUUUGUAUCUCAUUCUACAACUCCUGCUGUCUCAAAUUCCUCUGUGUUGCUGUCUUACCUUACACUACAUCUCUAUCCACUUCAUUAGUUUAAAAAAAAAAAAACAAACUGUUACCUCAUUAUGAACAUUACUAUUUUCAUCCUUCUAAAUAAUGGUACACAUCGAUCCCUUAUGUUAUUUCAGUGCAUUCCAAGUUUUUUAUUCUCAUUUGCAUCUUGUUCCCUAUCAUUAUUUUUAUAAUUGUUUUAAGUCUCCUCAUCGUCACAGGUACUGGUGAUUAUUUUAAGACACAUCCUUGGUAGGAAAUAUAGCACACAGCACUUGAAAUAAGUGUUGAAUGAUAUGAGCUAAUCUGCUUUCCUGGCAACAGGAAUCUCUCCAGCUACAGCCAGUUGAGGAAUCCAGUUUAUGACCCUUGUACCACGGAGCUAAGGUCUCUGUGACGCACUCCGCUGAGCAGCUGCAGAAGACAGAGCAUCUGCACAUUUAGCACCUUUAUGAGCCAGUUUGAAAAGAGACCUGGAAGUUAGUUAUGAAUGUUACUUCUGAAGCUUUCCUAGACUAACGUAACAGAAAACUAUAAAGGAAGAUUUUGAAAGACCUAUGCAAAACUUGUCAAAAUUAACAGCUCUUUCCUCAAUUUUUCUUUACUUUCCCUCCUGACUUUCAACUAAACAAAACUCAUAUCCUAUACAAUUUUAAAGAGUCUCUUUCCCCUACCCACUAUGUAUAUAUAUUCACACAUCCUUCUCUAAAGAAUCAGAUGUAAAGGUAUCACACAGCAUUUGUUUGACCUACUUAGUACCUUUAACUGAGAUGAGAGAUCCCUAGGAUCUCCAUGUAUGUUAUAAAUCCAAACCGGUUGUUGCCCAGGCGAUGAAUUGUAAGGCAAAGUUUUAGGCCUGUUUGCUUGACUGACAAUUACUCUGUCUAGCGAUAUGUCUUCUCCAGGACAGAUUCCUGAAUCCUGAAACUCAAAACAGCUUCGAGGAGCUCUUACUUCUCAAAAGCAUGAAGCUUACCCCAUUUAUGCCUUUUUUGUGUCAUCCUCCUUCCUGUCCCCCAUCUGCCUGAAUAACAUACAUGCAUCCAGUACAGUUGCAGAAGCUGCACACAGCAAGCAGAAUUGCCUCUGUACACAGCUUGAAAAACUUCUGUCUUUUGGCAAUGGACCCCCUGUGAAUUUCUCUUUCCUCUGUAAUCCUGUUAUCUCACAGAUGACAUAAGAGUUCUUUCUUUCUCAUUUGUUGACAAGAAAAUAUGUUACAUAUAAAGGAAAUAUAAUCUAUUUUCAUUAUGUUGACUAGCAUGUGACUUUAGAAUCACCUACGUAACCUUGAUUUGGAAAAAGGAAAAUCAAUUUUUGCAAAAUCUGAGAACUAUUGUUAGGUUUUGUUUUAAUGUAACUGUUUUCUAUAACCAUAGCAACGGUUUUAUUGAAAGUGUGCUGUUUAUAAUUAUUGAAAGGGUGCAUCAUUUUGCUUUUUUUCCUAGGCUCAUAAUUGUCCAAAGAUCUUCAAAAUAAUAGUUUCCAGAUUCAGGCCUCCUCCAAGAAAAAGAUUUGCCCUAAUUUGUACAAAGAGCAUCUAACAAUUUCAGAUCUCAUUCAUGUCCUCUCAUUCCCAAGGAAAAAAUAAAAUAAAAAGAUGGAUUGUUUUCCCUCUUUUUUUUUUUCCUACAAGAAUUAAAAAAAAGAAGAAAAAGAAAGAAAAGUGACUUUGAAUUAGUUUGAGUGAAGAACACGUGAGAAAAAAACAUCAUUCACUGAGAUAACCAUGCACGCAUCUGUAACCCAGUUGAAGGGCAGUGCAGUCACCACUUCACAGUCACAUACUGAAGCUAAGGGAAGAGCAGACUGCCAAGGAAAUACCUAUUCCUAAUGCAUCUGCCAAAGGAACGUUCAGUAAUACAAUCUGAGGCAGCAGUGUUAAUUAACAAGAAUUAUAUGUUUAUACUGGUUUUGUUUAAAGCACAAAGAUAAGGUUCUUAUUACAUUUAUGGAUGUAGUGUUAGUCUUACCUAUAUAUGACAGUGUUGUCACUGAUACAUCGUGGCAGUAUUCUACGUGAGACCAAAAAAAAAAACCCCCAAAAUCCAAAGAGAAAGCUUUUUAAGUGAUAUCACCAAUUUUAACUAAUUCUUAUUUUAAAACAUUAUGUAUCCCAAACACAACUUGUAACCGUGUUCUGUUUUUCUUAGCACUGCACAUGCCUUUGCAAUUGUUUGGGUUUUUUUAAGAUGAUUGGUAUUGUCACCUUUGGGUGGAUCUCACUGUGACUGUGAGGAUAAAACAGACUUUGUUUUUUUUUAAGAGUAGCUGCACUUUAAACAGAUUCAGAUCCAUAGCUGUUGCUUGCUACUAUAGUGAUAAUCAGAAAUAGAAACAAAGGUGACAAAGUUUUCUUAGUUCUUGUUUUUAACCAAGGAAAAUAGAAUUAAAGUGUGUUGAUGGAGAACGGGAUGUCUCUUGAAGCUGAGGAUCUGUCAUUGCUCAGAUCUUCCUCUCUUACAGGCUGAGUGUUGUUACAUGUU